rnacentral:rRNA from 1 species
UACGGAGGGGGCUAGCGUUGUUCGGAAUUACUGGGCGUAAAGCGCACGUAGGCGGACUGUUAAGUCGGGGGUGAAAUCCUGGGGCUCAACCUCAGAAUUGCCUCCGAUACUGGUAGUCUCGAGUGCGGGAGAGGUGACUGGAAUUCCUGGUGUAGCGGUGAAGUGCGCAGAUAUCAGGAGGAACACCGGUGGCGAAGGCGGGUCUCUGGGCCGUAACUGACGCUGAGGAGCGAAAGCAUGGGGAGCGAACAGG